rnacentral:lncRNA from 1 species
GCCAGAAGCAGGUCCUAGUGGGCUACAGAUUCUCCCAAGGGGAGAAAGGACAACAGAGAGCCAGAUUCCUGAUGUUCUUAUGGAAGGAGACUCUCUUUCCAAACAAUAUCCACCUUUCAUUUCAUCCUCCCUUUCCGCAAGCCAAAGAUGUCAACUUGAAUGAAAAGAUAUAUUUGGCUUUGUUAUCACAUCGUUGCUGUCCUUUGAUUCUUCUUGGAAAGCAGAAGCAAAACUUGAGAUGACGAGAGCAUCUUGGCAUCUCAUGGAACGAGCAUGAGGAUUAAACCCAUGGCAUCAGUGCUGGCAGGAGAGGAACACAGAGCCUGGGCCCAGGAGUCUUCCCAGUGGUUCAGCCAGAG